GGAUCUGGGUCCGGGUCUAACUUCCAGACCCGGACCCGGAUCUGUGGAUCCGUUUUUAAAAUUUAAUUUUUUAAAAAAAUAAUAAAAAUUCUAAUACAAAACUCACAAGUCACACAACUUUCGGCCCAUAUCAAUUCAGAAACAAAAAUCAAAACUAUUUACAAACCCUAACUUUCUCUCUCUAGUUUCCAUUAUCCACUACCACUACUCAGCCUACUCUCUAAUCUCCACCGACCACCGGACCUCCCAGACAUAUCGCCGGCAAACAAAACGGCAUCAAAGACCUCGUCCAGGAUGUUGAUGAUAUUAGUAGUGAUGAAGAUUAGUUCUUUCGGAAUAUGGAUAUUGGAUGCUCAAAUCGGAUACAUCAAUGUUAUUUUUUUUUGUUUGGUCAUUUGUAACAUGGUACUUUUUUUUAUGUUUGGAUUUUUUUUUUCAAAGACAAUAUGUGUGUUACAUUGUAUUUUUAGUUGUAUAACUCUAAUUUAUGCAUUGAACUUGGUUGAAA